CCGUGGCUUCUGGAGUCUUCUACAUGUAAGAUAAUUGCGCGGGACGUUAAUAUCUCUAUGUAAUCCCGACGUGUGGGCCUUUCUUCCGUAUUUCCUGAUAACCCCCUGCAGAAAUAGACAAACACCAAAACUCGUGGAAUUCUGUCAGAUAAAACCCUAAGUCUAGAUGUUUAUUUCAUUUGGAUCCUUUUCUUUGUUUAUUUGAUAAUUAAAUUUGAUACUUAAGGACCAUCAACAAACUCCCCCAAGCUUACCUCUUGCUCGUCCCUGAGCAAGGAUAGACUCAGCUAUGGAUCAUAAGUUGUUGCAAUAUCUUUAAAAAUUGAUGGUACACAUGCUUUUUAAAUAAGAUCUCAUCUCUGAGUUAGAGUAAACUGUCAAGACUUAAAACUUACUUACUUUACCUUUUACCAUGGGACUUGUAACCGUCACUUCUGUCUUGACUAGUUAAAAGAUAGAACAGUCUAGUCAAGUGCCAUGUCUCUUAUUCUUGAUCAGCUAUAGCUCUAGAGUUUUUUGCAGAUUUUCAAAUAAAACUCAGAGAUUCCUUGUAUGAUUCUCUCAAAUCUCUCUUUUGUGGUAAUUCUGGAUCCUUACCAAGGCAGUGAUGGUAUAUGCCUUCUCUCAAAAUAUGUGGUAUUUGUGGUAUAAAGCAUAGUGACAUUGACUUCUCUCUCACCCUACUCUAAUAAGGCUUUAAUAUCUGGAGCUCAUAGGUGGGAGAUAAAGUAUACAUACUCACAAGACAUUUAUUGUAUAGUCAAACCAUGGAUCCAAAGAAACAAAUCAAUAAGUCAAAUCAAGAUUUGCAUGUGUGGCGAAUGAAUGGUAUAUGGUGAUGACGGUGAUAACAAUGGUGAAAGUCUAAUUCUACUUUUGCUCUUCUGAGGGGAUACAUACCUUCCUUGCUUUCUGAAACUUUUGAACAGAAUGAGAUGCUCUUAUUUUUCUUUUCACUCAGGUGGGUAUUUUGUACCCCUAAUUCUACUGUCGGACACUUGUCCAUUUUUACCUCUCGUCUCACUUUUUCUUUUCUUUCGAGGUUCCGGGCACUUGCCCCUUUUUAUUUCCUUGUAUCUUUUUUUUUCUCUCUCUUUUUUUUCAGAGCACUCAUCUCUUGAGAUAAUAUAGCAAGUGGUAGUAACAAGAUAACUUGAGCAUUUAUUUCACAGGGAAAAACAGAAAUAUUUUUGGCUAUUCUCUCCCGGAUUAGGAGUAGAAUAUGUUUAGGUGGUUCUGGAGAUGAAAAUGGGUGGAUAUAUGUGGAUGGUACUUCUGGAGUAGAAGUAGCAUAUAUGAGUGAACGUGCAAGUGAAAUCUUGAUUUUAACUACAUGACAAGCUCCUAAGGGUCUACACAGCUUGACCACACUCAAUGCUCAUAAGCAGUAAAUAGUAAAUGUGUGGCUCAAAGUCUAGCAAGCAUGUAUAUAUGGCUGUGGUAGAAAUUUAAACUCUCAUCAUACAGGAACUCAUCAUGCAAUAUUUUAAAGAUUUUUAAAGCUAAAAUUCUCUAGAAUUCUAGCAUCUCUAGGAACAGAUAAACAGCAGCUCAACCUUCCCAUAUCAUAUCCGUUAACAACUUAGACUUCAGAUCAAGUUUUCAUCCCACAAGUUUAGGUCUAGAGCAAGCUUUAAAUUAUAACAGUUAUGUCUAAACUUGAGAGAGAACUUAAAAUGUGCAAAUUAGGUAGAGCAACUAUUCAUGAUAUCCAUGCUAGAGUUUUAUUAUUAAGAUACAGAUUAGCAUAGCCACUCUAUUUAUUUAUUAAACACACUAGGCAAAAGAUAUAAGCACAAAAUCUUUAUUUGGUUUUUCCUGGUUUAUGUAUAUUUAUAUUCUAAAAUAGUAUAAGUUUAAAGAUAGAUAGAUAGAAAUACUUAUCGGGAUAAAUAGGGGUGCUCUCCCCCAAGCUGAAUUUUGACGUAAUUUCUCUUGAUGUAGCUAGCAGGUGAGGUGUAUUUGAAAGUCAGCAGCAUUCUGUCAGCGAUUAGAAUGUCCUCCGUCUACUAGUCUUCUUGAUUCUUAAAUUCUGUGGAGCUCAAAUAGACAACAAAGCUUGUGGAAUUGAUUAAGUGUUAGCAUAAAUAUCUAGCCUUUAUCAUGUUGAGACUCCAUAAUAUUUGUUACUCCCUGUUUUUAUAUUUUUAUUUUAUAAAGCAGAAAAGAAAUAUUUAUUUUAUUUUUAUGCCACCACAGUGAAUGUACUUAUGGGUUUGAUGCCACUCGUAUACUCACAUGGGGCUUACAGUUUUUCACAUUUUUAUUUUAUUUUUAAGAUAGUAUGAAUAUGAUUAACUAAGUAAAAUAAUUGAAAGGGAAAGGAUAACUAUCAAGUUUACCUCUUGGCAAGACGUUCGGUGUUUUUAUGUCCUCCGAACAGGACUCUCCAUUUUCUCAAUUGUCCUGGAAUUCGUUGGGUGGCGGAGUCGGUACUUCCGGCAGCGCCUCUUCUUCAUGUAUAGUUAUCUUCUCUUUCCAUACCUGACUCGGUGCUUCAGUCUCCUCUGGAUAAUUCUGUUUAAACUCUACGUCUUCUGACCUUACAACUUCUCCUUCAUAGUCUGCCCAUCCGUCCUUGAUGAUUUGCCUCCUCUGGUUGCGUCAUUUUCUUACCUGCUUAGAUUCUUCAAAGAUGUAGUUAGGGUCAGUAAAAUAACGGCGUACCUUCUCUGAGGGGAAGUGCAUAUGGACUUCUCCAGUUCCAAUGUAGAUAAUUGCUUUAACAGUGCUGAGGAACGGUCUUCCAAGGAUGAUGGGUGGAUCGUAUUCAUCUUCUCCCAUGUCAAUAACCUGAAAGUCUGUGUAGACAAAAUGAUCGUCUAUUUUGACUGGGACAUCCGUUACUGUUCCUUUAACUUCUCGAGAUGUCUGAUCUGCCAUCUGGAGCUGAAUGUAUGUUAGUCUUAGUGGCAUGGUUCCGAACAAGAGCCGAUAGGUGACUACGGCCAUUAUGUUGACGCCCGAUCCGGUGUCGCAAAACGUCUUGUAGAAGCUGUAUCCAUUUAUGGAGCAGUAGAUGCUUGGCAUUACUAGGUCGUCCUUCUUGGUCAAAAACGAUGACUUAAGUUGAUGAUCUUGACCUCCAUGAACUGCAGUGACCAUCUUAGCUGAUUCGGUCCACACUUGCUUGUCUUGUUUCCUCCUGUUGUUCCCUCCCUUGAUUCACGUCUGGAAUGAUCUGGGAUUUGUGUAGCUUGUUCUGGAAGAAAAAUGUCUCCUUCCUCCCUUUGAUGUAGAAACUGAUCUUGGCAGCACUAGCAUAGAUGACAGCUCCCGAGGUGUUUAAGAAUGGCCUCCCUAAGAUGAUGGGUGCUCUCUCAUCACUACCGGUAUCUAUCACCACGAAGUCUGCUAGGGCGUACAAGGUACCAACUUGGACACAAAGGUUCUUCAAUAUUCCUUUUGGAAAACUUAUCGUCUGAUCUGCAAACUGCAAACACAUGGUUGUCUCUAAUAAAGGAUAUGUAAAGAAUUUUUCAUGGAGUACCCUAGGUAUAAUGUUGACACUGGAGCCAAAGUCGCAGAGUGCUUCUGGGAAGUCCACCAUUCCGAUGGAGAUCGGGAUGACGGGGCGUCCUGGAUCGCCUCUCUUGACCGGCAGAAGGUCAGUAGUAAAUUCAGUGACGGGGUUACUCCAAUUACCUGCAUCAAACAUGUCUACAAGAUUUGCAGAUUCUAAUCCUUCCGGUUGUGAUGGUAUACCGGGGUUAGUAGCAGGAACAGCAGCAGCUAUUUGAUUUAACUGAGAUUCAAUCAUUUUAUUAAAGCUAAUUUGAUUCUUGAUGGCAGUAGAGAAAUUAUCCGGUCUAUUAUUUAUAUUUUCUAGCAUUUUAUCAUUUGAUGCCAAUUUCUUAGAUAGAUUAUCCAUUAGCUUUCCUUGAUUAGACACUAACUCUCUCAAAGGUGGAAAAUUAUUAUUAUUGUUGUAAGAACUGUUACCUUGAUAAUUACCUGAGUAGUUAGGCCUCUGUUGAUUCCAACCUUGAUUUUGUUGAGGACGGUUGUAGUAGUUGUUGUUGUUAUUGUUGAUGCAGUUCACAUCCUCAAGUAUCUCAGGGCAGUGAUUGCCUGAGUGUCCAGUAUCUCCACACUCCUCACAAGUCAUGUGAGAGUCGUAGAUGUGCAUAACUUCUUUCUUGUCUCCAUCUCUAUCAUCGAGCUUCUUCAUGAGCAGGUCUAGCUUUGCAGAUAGCAUGUCUACCUCCUUGAGCUGAUGCAUACCUCCACCUCUCUUGCGUGUCUGGGUCCUCUCUUCAUUCCAGCCUUGGUUGGACGCCAUCUUCUCCACAAGAGCUGUGGCUUGUCAUAUGGUAAGUGAUAAGAAUGCUCCUCCAGCUGCAGCAUCCAUGGUUUCUCGGGCACUGUUGCUGAGCCCAUGAUAAAACGUCUCUAUUAGUAGCCAACCCUCCAUUCCAUGUUGGGGACAUUAUAAGAUGUAGUCUUGGAAGCGCUCCCAUGCUUCUGGAACAGAUUCAUCAUGUUGUUGCUGAAAACUUGUAAUCUUCCCACGGAGAGCAUUGGUCUUGCCCAUGGGAAAGAACUUAGCCAGGAAGUUUGUUGAGCAGAGUGCCCACGUAGUAUUCUUCUCCUUUGUAGCGUAAAACCACUGCUUCGCUCUUCCUAGCAGUGAGAAUGGGAAGAGGCGAAGUAGUAUAGCAUCUCUGGGGACUCCUGAUAUGGUGAAUGUGCUGCAAAUCUCCAGGAAGUGUUGGAGAUGAGCACUAGCAUCUUCGUGUGCCUUCCCACAGAACUGGUUGGAUUGCACCAUGUUGAUAAGUCCAGGCUUGAGCUCAAAGUUGCCGUCGAUCUCUGCAGCAGGUCCUGUGCUGAUGUUGUCCGUAGUGGGAGCUGAGAACUCGCGGAUCGAUUUGUUCGCCAUGGCUUCGAACUCUGAAGACAAGUUUCGGUGAUUUUCUUCAUUGGAUGAAGCUUCUUGCUGAAGUGUUGAUGAUCUCUUCUUGAGCUUUGCUUUUGUCUUCUUGAAUAAUGCUUUGGGAUUGUCUUCUAUUCAUACAUUCCCCUGCAUAAGAUAAAAUGGAAAAAUAUCGGGGUAAAACUGUAUGAGAGAAUAGAUAAGCUCAAUCAUAUUAGUGACGCGAAUGAUAACUCAAAAUCCUUUAUUCCAUUCCGGAUUAGUAAUCAACCUUCCCCGGCAACGGCGCCAAAAAUGCUUGUUGGGUAUUCUUAACAUCAUUACCAAAAGUAGACUAAGUUCUCUAAAUCUAGUAACGGUGCCAAAAAUGCCAAACCUAUCCCUCACACCACUUAAGCCAAGUUGUCAUCCCCAGCAUGACAUGAGAGACGCGGUAUUGAAAUAUGCAAUUGCUCUUCUAAAUAAAUAAUGAAUGGGAUCUGCAAGCGCACAGAUUAAUACCGAUGUAGCAUUUUAACCAGGAAGUAUUCCAGGUAUCGUUAUUUAUAUUUUUACCACUGGGAAGGGAUUAGUAACCAUCAAUAUUGAUUACAUAAUAGAAUAUGAGAUUGAGUAUCUAUCAUUGCAUGUAUAAUUGAGAACAUUUAUCUAACUCUUUCAUACAGGGGUAAGUGUCACAUAAAAGAUAUAUGAAAUAAUGAAUAGUGACAAAGAUAAUUAAUCUGAUCAUAACUUAGCCACAUAUAAAUAUGAUAAGCACCUCAAUUAGAUACUCUAUAAAGUCAUUAGCAUGGAAUUAGAACGAACUACAAGAAUAUUUCCUAAGUUAUUCUCAACUAUAUAGUCUAGCAUCAUCAUAGUUAGUGCAAGCAUACUUAGCAAUCAUUGUGAGACAAGAUUACGCCCAUGCAUAGUGAUAUUAGCAAGGUAACUGAGAAACAUAGCAAUCACUCUCCUGUAAUAAUAUUGCUGUGCCAGCCCAAUACACGAGCGGGGGACUAUAUAAGAAUCAAUGAAGCUGUCACUAUCACGAACUACCCCACGAUCUGGCAUAUUAGGUACAAUCGCAGAUAAAUACGGUAUAAGCACCACGCCUACACAAUAUCUAUCAUUUACCCAUGGAUCCGAUGGAUAAACGCUAUACGAUCCUAAGCAUGUAUAUAGAUCCAAUCUAACUAAGCCAAGUACAUAACUAUAACAAACUAAGAACAAUAUAAUCUUGAAUAUAAACAAGUAGAGCAAAGUCAUAAGCAAUAUAUUGAAGUAGAACAAAGUCAUAUCCAUAAUAUUGAAGAACAAAGAUAAUUAGAAAGCAAUUAGAAGCACAAGUAGAGAAUUACCAAGAAUCCUCUUGACAGGUCCGGAAACCAAUCGAAGAUUGACUCCUUCUAGUUCUAAUCCUAUGUAGCUAUGCUAAUCUAGAUAUCUAAUUGAUGUGGUGGCUCUAAUCUUGAUCAGAGGCUUCUUCUCCCUUGAAGAACAAUGAAUUAGGGUUGAGAGGCUCUCUCCUCUAGGAGCCAGGGGGUCUGGUUUUAUAGUCCCUUCAAGUGAAUAUGGGCCGUUGGAUCAAACCAACAUUGAUUGAACGGUUAUCCUUGAUCCUUUAGGUCAGUGGAGAUCUCCAGAGAAACAGAGUCCUGAUUGGACUCCAGGUCAGGGCGGGCGCCCAGGGCAGGAGGGCGGGCGCCCUGCCUCUGGCCCCGUUCGGCCUCCGCUUUCUUCCCGUGGCUUCUGGAGUCUUCUAGAUGUAAGAUAAUUGCGCGGCACGUUAAUAUCUCUAUGUAAUCCCGACGUGUGGGCCUUUCUUCCGUAUUUCCUGAUAAACCCCUGCAGAAAUAGACAAACACCAAAACUCAUGGAAUUCUGUUAGAUAAAACCCUAAGUCUAGAUGUUGAUUUCAUUCGGAUCCUUUUCUUUGUUUAUUUGAUAAUUAAAUUUGAUACUUAAGGACCAUCAACAAACUCCCCCAAGCUGACCUCUUGCUCGUCCCUGAGCAAGGAUAGACUCAGCUAUGGAUCAUAAGUUGUUGCAAUAUCUUUAAAAAUUGAUGGUACACAUGCUUUUUAAAUAAGAUCUCAUCUCUGAGUUAGAGUAAACUGUCAAGACUUAAAACUUACUUACUUUACCUUUUACCAUGGGACUUGUAACCGUCACUUCUGUCUUGAGUAGUUAAAAGAUAGAACAGUCUAGUCAAGUGCC
rnacentral:lncRNA from 1 species